GAAAUUGUCACAGAAAUAUCUUUCCAUAGCAGAGAAAUCCACCAUGCACCACAGAAUGGCCACACAGAAAUCUCCUACCAUUUCCCUCAUCUUCUUCUUCAGCAUCAUAAUCCUCCAUGCCCAAAUCCAAGCAAGCCCAAUCAAAACCAUAGUCGUUCUUGUGAUGGAAAAUCGUUCUUUUGAUCACAUGCUGGGUUGGAUGAAGAAGAUUAACCCAGAAAUCAAUGGUGUUGAUGGAAAUGAGUGGAACCCAUUGAACACAGGCGAUCCAAAUUCAGAGAAAUUGUUUUUCAAGAAUCAGGCAGAGUUUGUUGAUCCUGAUCCUGGCCAUUCUUUCCAAGCUAUAAGGGAGCAAAUAUUUGGGUCUAAUGACACCUCCAAGAAUCCUCCUCCCAUGAAUGGGUUUGCUCAGCAAGCUUUCUCUAUGGACCCCUCAGGAAACAUGUCUGGAGAUGUGAUGAAUGGGUUUGAUCCUGAUAAGGUUGUUGUUUAUAAAACUCUGGCUUCAGAAUUUGCAGUCGUUGACAGGUGGUUCGCAUCCGUUCCGACGUCUACACAACCGAAUCGGCUGUACGUCCACUCAGGAACGUCCGCCGGAGCCACCAGCAACAUUCCGGCAUUGCUAGUGAAAGGUUACCCGCAAAGGACCAUAUUCGAGAACCUGGACGACGGCGGAAUAUCUUGGGGGAUAUACUACCAGAAUAUUCCGGCGACAUUGUUCUAUAGGAAUCUAAGGAAGCUCAAAUACAUAGGCAAUUUUCACUUAUACAAUACCUUUAAAAUACAUGCACGACAAGGGAAGCUCCCAGGAUAUGUUGUGGUGGAGCAGCGGUACAUGGACACCAAGGCUGAGCCUGCUAAUGAUGAUCAUCCUUCCCAUGAUGUGUAUCAAGGCCAAAUGUUUGUCAAAGAGGUGUACGAGACACUAAGGGCUAGUCCACAGUGGAAUGAAACUCUAUUUGUGAUCACAUAUGAUGAGCAUGGAGGGUUCUAUGAUCAUGUGGCCACACCAGUAAGUGGGGUCCCCAGCCCAGAUGGGAUAGUAGGGCCAGAGCCAUUCUUGUUCAACUUUGAUAGGCUGGGAGUUAGGGUUCCCACCAUUUUGAUCUCACCUUGGAUAAACAAGGGUACUGUUGUUCAUGGCCCCAAUGGGUCACCAUUUCCGACUUCGGAAUAUGAACAUUCAUCCAUUCCGGCGACGGUGAAGAAGCUCUUCAACCUUUCUUCACCCUUCCUAACCAAGAGGGAUGAAUGGGCUGGAACCUUUGAGGGUGUUGUUCAGACCCUAACUGAACCCAGAACUGAUUGCCCAGUGCAACUACCAACUCCAGUCAAGAUCAGGCAAGGCGACGCCAAUGAAAACGCAACGGUUAGCGAAUUCCAGCAGGAGCUACUGCAGCUAGCAGCAGUGCUAAAAGGAGAUCACAUAUUUACAAGUUUCCCUGAAAAGACCGGGAAAAUGACAGUAAAGCAAGGAAAGGAAUAUAUGGAAGAUGCAGUGAAACGCUUCUUUGAAGCAGGACUCUAUGCCAAAAAAAUGGGAGUUGAUGAAGAACAAAUUGUUCAAAUGAGGCCAUCCCUCACUUCUAGAUCAUCUAAACCAACCAACAACCACCCAUAAGAACAUAAUGUGAAAUCUUUACAAAUGUAACCUCAGCACCCAUUUAGAAAUGUAAGCACAGCAACAGAAAGUAAAAGCAAAUAAUGGUUUCCCCAUAUCUCCUGCAAUAAAUGCCAGUGUAAAUACUGAAAACCAAGCCUAGCCAUGUAGGAAGAACGAAGAACAGUAUUUAAACCAAACAGUAAAACAAUAAGACCUCAUAAGAGUUCAC
rnacentral:misc_RNA from 1 species